GGCGAACGCUGGCGGCAGGCCUAACACAUGCAAGUCGAACGAACCUUUCGGGGUUAGUGGCGGACGGGUGAGUAACACGUGGGAACGUGCCUUUAGGUUCGGAAUAACUCAGGGAAACUUGUGCUAAUACCGAAUGUGCCCUUCGGGGGAAAGAUUUAUCGCCUUUAGAGCGGCCCGCGUCUGAUUAGCUAGUUGGUUGAGGUAAUGGCUCACCAAGGCGACGAUCAGUAGCUGGUCUGAGAGGAUGAUCAGCCACAUUGGGACUGAGACACGGCCCAAACCCUACGGGAGGCAGCAGUGGGGAAUCUUGCGCAAUGGGCGAAAGCCUGACGCAGCCAUGCCGCGUGAAUGAUGAAGGUCUUAGGAUUGUAAAAUUCUUUCACCGGGGACGAUAAUGACGGUACCCGGAGAAGAAGCCCCGGCUAACUUCGUG
rnacentral:rRNA from 1 species